rnacentral:rRNA from 1 species
CUUGGUCAUUUAGAGGAAGUAAAAGUCGUAACAAGGUCUCCGUUGGUGAACCAGCGGAGGGAUCAUUACAGAGUUGCAAAACUCCCAACCCUUUGUGAACGAACCUAACAGUUGCUUCGGCGGAAGGCCCUUCACUGGGCGGCCCGCCGAAGGUCUACAAACUCUUGUCUUUUGGCAUCGCUGAGUAGCUUAUAAAUAAGUUAAAACUUUCAACAACGGAUCUCUUGGUUCUGGCAUCGAUGAAGAACGCAGCGAAAUGCGAUAAGUAAUGUGAAUUGCAGAAUUCAGUGAAUCAUCGAAUCUUUGAACGCACAUUGCGCCCGCCAGUAUUCUGGCGGGCAUGCCUGUUCGAGCGUCAUUUCAACCAUCAAGCCUCAGGUUUGUGUUGGAGCCCUGCGGCCGUCCGCAGCCUCCUAAAAGCAGUGGCGGGCUCGCUAUCACACCGAGUGCAGUAGUUUACUCUUCGCUCAGGGCGUGUGGCGGGUGCCGGCCGUGAAACCCCUCAUAUCUAAAGGUUGACCUCGGAUCAGGUAGGAAUACCCGCUGAACUUAAGCAUAUCAAUAAGCGGAGGA